GCACUGGAAGUAUCGAACGUACAUCUGCCUUCCAAGCAGAAAGCCCAUAACGGCCAGCACA
rnacentral:tRNA from 1 species